GUGUUGGGUAUAUAUCAUUUUCAGAUACGGAUUCAGUGCGCUCCCGUAUGCGAACGCUUUUACCAGGUGUCCAUCAACAAGGCUUUAAACACGCUUACAGUCGAACGGCAA